rnacentral:rRNA from 1 species
GGGAUUGCCUCAGUAACGGCGAGUGAAGCGGCAACAGCUCAAAUUUGAAAUCUGGCCCUUUCGGGGUCCGAGUUGUAAUUUGUAGAGAGUGUUUCGGGCGAGACCACGGUCUAAGUUCAUUGGAACAUGGCGUCAUAGAGGGUGAGAAUCCCGUAUGUGACUGUGGAUCGAGCCCAUGUGAAGCCUCUUCGACGAGUCGAGUUGUUUGGGAAUGCAGCUCAAAAUGGGUGGUAAAUUUCAUCUAAAGCUAAAUACUGGCUGGAGACCGAUAGCGCACAAGUAGAGUGAUCGAAAGAUGAAAAGCACUUUGGAAAGAGAGUCAAACAGUACGUGAAAUUGUUGAAAGGGAAGCGCUCGCAACCAGACCUGUCCGUAGGUGAUCAGCCGCUGUUCUCAGUGGUGCACUCGCUCUGCGAUCAGGCCAGCAUCGGUUCCGGCGGCCGGAUAAAGGCCUUGGGAAUGUAGCUCCCCUCGGGGAGUCUUAUAGCCCUCGGUGCAAUGCGGCCAGCCGGGACCGAGGACCGCGCUUCGGCUAGGAUGCUGGCGUAAUGGUUGU